rnacentral:rRNA from 1 species
UACGAAGGGGGCUAGCGUUGCUCGGAAUUACUGGGCGUAAAGCGCACGUAGGCGGCUUUUUAUGUCGGGGGUGAAAUCCUGGAGCUCAACUCCAGAACUGCCUUCGAUACUGGAAGACUUGAGUCCGGGAGAGGUGAGUGGAACUGCGAGUGUAGAGGUGAAAUUCGUAGAUAUUCGCAAGAACACCAGUGGCGAAGGCGGCUCACUGGCCCGGUACUGACGCUGAGGUGCGAAAGCGUGGGGAGCAAACAGU